GGGAGGCAGCAGUGGGGAAUAUUGCACAAUGGGCGCAAGCCUGAUGCAGCCAUGCCGCGUGUAUGAAGAAGGCCUUCGGGUUGUAAAGUACUUUCAGCAGUGAGGAAGGUGGAUAUGUUAAUAGCAUAUUCAUUUGACGUUAGCUGCAGAAGAAGCACCGGCUAACUCCGUGCCAGCAGCCGCGGUAAUACGGAGGGUGCGAGCGUUAAUCGGAAUUACUGGGCGUAAAGCGCAUGCAGGUGGUUUGUUAAGUCAGAUGUGAAAGCCCGGGGCUCAACCUCGGAAUUGCAUUUGAAACUGGCAAACUAGAGUACUGUAGAGGGGGUAGAAUUUCAGGUGUAGCGGUGAAAUGCGUAGAGAUCUGAAGGAAUACCGGUGGCGAAGGCGGCCCCCUGGACAGAUACUGACACUCAGAUGCGAAAGCGUGGGGAGCAAACAGGAUUAGAUACCCGGUAG
rnacentral:rRNA from 1 species